rnacentral:rRNA from 1 species
GAUGAACGCUAGCGACAGGCCUAACACAUGCAAGUCGAGGGGCAGCACAUGAGUAGCAAUACGAUGGUGGCGACCGGCGCACGGGUGAGUAACACGUAUGCAACCUGCCUUCUACUAUGGGAUAACCCGUUGAAAGACGGACUAAUACCGUAUAAUACAGGGGCUCCGCAUGGAGGUAUUUGUUAAAGAUUUAUUGGUAGAAGAUGGGCAUGCGUAUGAUUAGAUAGUUGGUGAGGUAACGGCUCACCAGGUCAACGAUCAUUAGGGGUUCUGAGAGGAAGGUCCCCCGCACUGGUACUGAGACACGGACCAGACUCCUACGGGAGGCAGCAGUGGAGAAUAUUGGUCAAUGGACGAGAGUCUGAACCAGCCAAGUCGCGUGAAGGAAGACGGUUCUAUGAAUUGUAAACUUCUUUUGUGCAGGAAUAAAGUGGGUUACGUGUAACCUUUUGUAUGUACUAUACGAAUAAGGAUCGGCUAACUCCGUGCCAGCAGCCGCGGUAACAC